rnacentral:rRNA from 1 species
GACGAACGCUGGCGGCGUGCUUAACACAUGCAAGUCGAACGGUAAGGCCCUUCGGGGUACACGAGUGGCGAACGGGUGAGUAACACGUGGGUGAUCUGCCCUGCACUUCGGGAUAAGCCUGGGAAACUGGGUCUAAUACCGGAUAGGACCACUGCCUGCAUGGGUGGUGGGGGAAAGCUUUUGCGGUGUGGGAUGGGCCCGCGGCCAAUCAGCUUGUUGGUGGGGUGAUGGCCUACCAAGGCGACGACGGGUAGCCGGCCUGGGAGGGUGACCGGCCACACUGGGACUGAGAUACGGCCCAGACUCCUACGGGAGGCAGCAGUGGGGAAUAUUGCACAAUGGGCGCAAGCCUGAUGCAGCGACGCCGCGUGAGGGAUGACGGCCUUCGGGUUGUAAACCUCUUUCAGCACCGACGAAGCGCAAGUGACGGUAGGUGCAGAAGAAGGACCGGCCAACUACGUGCCAGCCGCCGCCGUAAUAC